rnacentral:tRNA from 1 species
GGGCCCAUGGUCUAGCGGCUACAUGCAAAAACAAUGUUUUUGAGUUUGCGUGCUCGCAAAUGACAGCGCCCUUACAAGGCGUUGAUCGCCGGUUCGAGUCCGGCUGGGCCCA